ensembl:snoRNA small nucleolar RNA, H/ACA box 67
AUCCAAGGUGAUUCCCUCUUCCAAGGGGCCUACUCUAGUGCCCCUCUUCAGGAAAGUAGCAACUUGGAAUAAAAUCUGGCACGCCUCAGGUUUCUGGGGAGAAGGGGAUGUUUGUUUCUUUGCCUUCCUUUGGCUGCCUACAUGU